GUGAAUCAUCAAAUUUUUGAACGCAAAUUGCGCUUCCUGGCAUCCCGGGGAGUAUGCCUGUUUGAGGGUCAGUAUUAACAUAAAAUCGGUCUGGUUGCAAAUUGUCUCUUUUCCGGAGUUUGGGCUUGUCUUAACUUAUUUGGUUAAGGGGCUUAAAAUUGACCUUCUUUGCGCAUUUUUAGACGGACAUAAAUUUUUUUUUAUUCGUCUAUUCUU
rnacentral:misc_RNA from 1 species